rnacentral:rRNA from 1 species
GACGAACGCUGGCGGCGUGCUUAACACAUGCAAGUCGAACGGACAGGCCCUGCUUUUGUGGGGUGCUCGAGUGGCGAACGGGUGAGUAACACGCGAGUAACCUGCCCUUGUCUUUGGGAUAACUCCAGGAAACUGGGGCUAAUACCGGAUAGGAGCUCUUGCUGCACGGUGGGGGUUGGAAAGUUUCGGCGGUUGGGGAUGGACUCGCGGCUUAUCAGCCUGUUGGUGGGGUAGUGGCUUACCAAGGCUGUGACGGGUAGCCGGCCUGAGAGGGUGACCGGCCACAUUAGGACUGAGAGACGGCGCAGACUGCAACGGGAGGCAGCAGUGGGGAGUAUUACACAGUAGGCGGAAGCCUGAUGCGGCAGCGCCGCGUGCGGGAUGACGGCCUUCGAGUUGUAAACCGCUGUCGACUGUAACGAAGCGUGAGUGACGGUAAUGGGUAAAGAAGCACCGGCUAACUACGUG